rnacentral:rRNA from 1 species
AACGAACGCUGGCGGCAGGCUUAACACAUGCAAGUCGAACGGGCAUAGCAAUAUGUCAGUGGCAGACGGGUGAGUAACACGUGGGAACCUUCCUAGAGGUAAGGAACAACGCAGGGAAACUUGUGCUAAUACCGUAUACGCUCGAGAGAGGAAAGAUUUAUCGCCUUUAGACGGGCCCGCGUAGGAUUAGGUAGUUGGUGAGGUAACGGCUCACCAAGCCUACGAUCCUUAGCUGAUCUGAGAGGAUGAUCAGCCACACUGGGACUGAGACACGGCCCAGACUCCUACGGGAGGCAGCAGUGGGGAAUCUUGGACAAUGGGCGCAAGCCUGAUCCAGCCAUGCCGCGUGAGUGAAGAAGGCCUUCGGGUUGUAAAGCUCUUUUACCAGGGACGAUAAUGACGGUACCUGGAGAAUAAGCCCCGGCUAACUUCGUGCCAGCAGCCGCAGUAACAC